AAAGGAGAAAGACAUAGAGUUGCACUUGAUUGAUGGAUAUUUAGUAUUUUUCUGUAUGAGCUUUUAUAUGGUAAAACACAGAGUUGCAACUGAUCAAUGUUUCUUCGUAUUUUUCUAAUUACGAAUAAACAUUAGCCAAUGUCGUGUUGCAAAAUAAAAAAAUGUGUUUUUUGGUUUAUUGGUUUGUAUUGGUUUAUCCCCAGUAACGUGAGCGAG
rnacentral:lncRNA from 1 species